UACGUAGGGGGCUAGCGUUGUCCGGAUUUAUUGGGCGUAAAGAGCGUGUAGGCGGCCAGGUAGGUCUGCUGUGAAAACUCGAGGCUCAACCUCGAGACGUCGGCGGAAACCAUCUGGCUAGAGUCCGGAAGAGGAGAGUGGAAUUCCUGGUGUAGCGGUGAAAUGCGUAGAUAUCCGGAAGAACACCGGAGGCGAAGGCGGCUUGCUGGACCUGGUCUGACGCUGAGGCGCGAAAGCGUGGGGAGCGAACAGG
rnacentral:rRNA from 1 species